rnacentral:rRNA from 1 species
CCUACGGGGGGCUGCAGUGAGGAAUAUUGGUCAAUGGGCGCUAGCCUGAACCAGCCAAGUAGCGUGAAGGAUGACUGCCCUAUGGGUUGUAAACUUCUUUUAUAUGGGAAUAAAGUGCAGUAUGUAUACUGCUUUGCAUGUACCUUAUGAAUAAGGAUCGGCUAACUCCGUGCCAGCAGCCGCGGUAAUACGGAGGAUCCGAGCGUUAUCCGGAUUUAUUGGGUUUAAAGGGAGCGUAGGCGGGUGGUUAAGUCAGUUGCGAAAGUUUGCGGCUCAACCGUAGAAUUGCAGUUGAUACUGGCUUCCUUGAGUACAGUAGAGGUAUGCGGAAUUCGUGGUGUAGCGGUGAAAUGCUUAGAUAUCACGAAGAACUCCGAUUGCGAAGGCAGCAUGCUGGACUGUAACUGACGCUGAUGCUCGAAAGUGUGGGUAUCAAACAGGAUUAGAUACCCCAGUAGUC